rnacentral:rRNA from 1 species
UACGAGGGGGGCAAGCGUUGUUCGGAAUUAUUGGGCGUAAAGGGCGCGUAGGCGGUGCGGUAAGUCUGAUGUGAAAUCUCCGGGCUCAACUCGGAGUCUGCAUCAGAAACUGCCGUGCUCGAGUGUGGGAGAGGUGAGUGGAAUUCCCGGUGUAGCGGUGAAAUGCGUAGAUAUCGGAAGGAACACCAGUGGCGAAAGCGGCUUCCUGGUCCGACACCGACGUUCAGGCACGAAAGCGUGGGGAGCAAACAGG